ACUCUUAUUCAUGGGCCCUUUCCCUCUAUAUUUGAACCCCAUGGAUCCUCUCUCAAGUCGUUCCCUUUGGUUGCUUACAAUCCACCACGCUUCCCUGCAAGUUCACGCCCUCGUGAACGGAAGCUGAGAGCCGCAGCUCUCCCGAGAGCCCUGCUCUCUUGACACCCUACCCCUCGGGUCGAGCCCAGCGGGAGCAAACUGGACCAGCCAGAUG
rnacentral:lncRNA from 1 species